GGGCUUCGGAAGAGGAUGAACCGAGCCCAGCACAGAAUCCCUGACAGACGCUUAAAUGCUGGCAAGCUGAGGUGGGCUGCCGGAUUCCACCAUGCUACAUGUGGCCGUGUUCAUCUCACUACUCCAGGAAUUCAAAGAGGAGAUCAUGAAAGGAGACCACACCUACCGGGACUGAUCAUUUAGUCAUACCUCUAACUUCCUUGCCCCAGUUCUUCCUCUAUUCAAACCAAAAGAUCAUGUUGAAU